GCCCAUUCCCCAAGUGCUGGUUUCUGCGCAAGCAGAUGAAAAGGGAAUGCAAUACGCAGCCGCCCCCGCGACCGUGACCGGAGAGGACACCCAAGCCACUGACCACCGGGUCGGGAAGGCGGGAUGACCGCCAGAAAGCCUCCGCUUUCUGACAUCCGCAAGCCGGGAGACCUGCCAGCGACAUGUGACGUUA
rnacentral:ncRNA from 1 species